rnacentral:misc_RNA from 1 species
GGAUGAAGAACGUAGCGAAAUGCGAUACGUAAUGUGAAUUGCAGAUUUCAGUGAAUCAUCGAAUCUUUGAACGCACAUUGCGCCCGCUAGUAUUCUGGCGGGCAUGCCUGUUCGAGCGUCAUUUCAACCAUCAAGCCCUAGGCUUGCGUUGGAGCCCUGCGGCUGCCGCAGGCUCCCAAAUCCAGUGGCGGGCUCGUCGUCGUACCGAGUGCAGUAAACAUCCUCGCUCAGGGAACGUGACGGGUUCUUGCCGUGAAACCCCCCACAUAUCAAGGUUGACCUCGGAUCAGGUAGGAAUACCCGCUGAACUUAAGCAUAUCAAUAAGCGGAGGA